rnacentral:rRNA from 1 species
AGAGCGAACGCUGGCGGCAGGCCUAAUACAUGCAAGUCGAACGGACCCUUCGGGGUUAGUGGCGGACGGGUGAGUAACACGUGGGAACGUGCCCUUUGGUUCGGAACAACUCAGGGAAACUUGAGCUAAUACCGAAUGUGCCCUUUGGGGGAAAGAUUUAUCGCCAUUGGAGCGGCCCGCGUCUGAUUAGCUAGUUGGUGAGGUAAAGGCUCACCAAGGCGACGAUCAGUAGCUGGUCUGAGAGGAUGAUCAGCCACACUGGGACUGAGACACGGCCCAGACUCCUACGGGAGGCAGCAGUAGGGAAUCUUGCGCAAUGGGCGAAAGCCUGACGCAGCCAUGCCGCGUGAAUGAUGAAGGUCUUAGGAUUGUAAAAUUCUUUCAGCGGGACGAUAAUGACGGUACCGCAGAAGAACGCCCGGCUAACUUCGUGCCAGCAGCCGC